AUUAUGAUGAUGUCCAUGUUUCAUCAUGUAUACGAAAAGAUGGAUGGAUCUCCCCAUCCAUUCUUUCUUCGGUCACUCCACCCUUCAUGGCAAAUGGAGGGUAUGUGUGAACGCUCGUUGGCUCGAUAAGCUUCGGUUUCGGUUGGUUAACCCAUGACACCCCGACCCACCUCCUUCCUGGUUCCACCCUGAACAUUCUUCCUGCUCUCGGCCUCGCCGCCUUCCGGGGGAGAUGGCUCUUGGGCUCGGCAGAGCUCUGGUUCGGCAAUGGGCGAGGAGGCCAGGACCCCAACCCCUCCUUCCCCCUCGCCCACCUCCCUCCGCUCCCUUCUCUACCGACGGCGAUGAAUUCCAGAGCUCUCGUGUCAAGAUCUUCGAUCGAGACCUCAAGCGGAAGCAGAGGGAUCGAGCUGCGUGGUUGAUGGGAGGAAAGGACGAGUUUGUGGACUCGGUGGCCGAAAACCUUCUUGAUCGCCUCGAGGAUUGCAGAAAAACAUUUCCUACAGCACUAUGUCUUGGAGGUUCAUCUGAGGCGAUUAGACGUUUGUUACGUGGGCGUGGUGGUAUUGAAAAGCUUAUCAUGAUGGAUACAUCAUUUGACAUGGUUAAGCGAUUAAAAGAUUCAGAAAAGAAUUUUCCCAACAACAACUUUGAGACUUUCUUUGUGGUUGGAGAUGAAGAGUUCUUGCCAAUAAAAGAAAGCUCUGUGGAAUUGGUAAUCAGUUGCUUGGGACUUCAUUGGACAAAUGAUCUUCCUGGGGCCAUGAUACAAUGUAGAUUGGCAUUGAAGCCUGAUGGUCUGUUUCUAGCAGCUAUCCUUGGUGGAGAGACUUUAAAAGAGCUGAGGAUAGCUUGUACUAUUGCUCAAAUGGAACGUGAGGGGGGAAUAAGCCCUCGACUAUCUCCUCUGGCACAAGUCCGUGAUGCAGGAAAUCUUCUGACAAGGGCAGGUUUCACUCUUCCUGGUGUUGAUGUUGAUGAAUAUACUGUCAGAUAUGAUAGUGCUUUGGAGCUUGUUGAACAUCUGCGGGCAAUGGGUGAGACCAAUGCUCUUCUUCAAAGAAAUCCUAAAGAGAGACACGGCCUUGGCUACUGCUGCAGUGUACCAGUCAAUGUUUGGAGCAGAGGAUGGAAGUGUUCCGGCAACUUUCCAGGUAUGACAUAGGUGAACUAUUGCCAUUUUAUGCACUGCAGGCAUCGAAUCAGUGCAAAUGUGACACCUCUUUACACGAGUAUACCUACUAAUGCAGUCAGGUUUCUUCCUUUAGCACUAGUCAUUUACAUGACAGGAUGGAGGGAACAUCCUUCGCAGCAGAAGGCUAGGAGGAGGGGCUCUGCCACUGUAUCAUUUGAGGACAUCCAGAAGCAUUUUGGUAGCAACAGCUAAUGUCUCUCACCUUAUUCUUAACUGUUACAUACUAAAUUCAACAAACAAGAUUUCCAUAUCCAGACUUGGAAACUGUCUAGCUUGGGAAAAUAUAAAAUUCUGUCAGAAAAUAGUGGUCAGCUUCAAGGUCAUUCCACUAUUGGCAUCGCAGUCCACACAGUAUGGCUUGCUGGUGCACAUGAACUAGAAGUCUUGAACUCGAAACCUCUCCAAGGUCUGUAUGCUUCCAGGAGCAAUGGUGGAAAUACUCCUGGUCUAUCUUCAUUCAUUCUAAUAUAAUUAAUCCAGCUGCCUUUGUCCUUUUGUAAGCUAAAUUAUAUGGCUCUUAAAAUGUUUCUCUAGAACCAUACAAAUAGAUGAAGCCUACCCUUGUAAAUAGGUUGAGUACUUGGUUUCCACUGGUAUUUACCACCAUGGGAGAACAAACUCCAGAGUUCAAGCAUAUAUGAAUUGUCCAAUUUCAUCUGAAUUUUGUUCCAAUCCAUUAUUUGUCAUCCCUUUGUAAUAUGUGAUAAGGCAACUGUGAAUAAGACUUCUUUUAAUAUAAAUGAGAUGGUUGGCAGAAGUUUGCCUCAGAUAAUAAUUUACCCAGCCGAUGAUCCGCAUUUAAACCAGGGAGAUGGAAGAAUGAAGAACCUGCAAGGUGGAGAUAUUAGCUAUUUGCCUGUUACCAGUUGUACCAUGUAAAGCCAUGCUGACGGCGAAUUAGAGAUUUUGUGAGAGAAAGUGAAGCAACAAAAAAUGUGCAGGCAUUUACAAUGAUAGAAUGAAAUUGUUGGUUCCAGAUAUUUCUGGCAUACAGCUUGAGAUAAUUGCUAUUGUUACUUGCAUGCUAAAUAGAAUGGAAUUGUUCAUUUGCAUUUUUCUCA